GUGGCUAACCAAUGGAUUAAGGGUUACAAAACCAUAAGUGGCAAUAAGGAGGGAAAUAAAAGGCCAAAAGAUGUGUUUUGCUGUCAGUUGAUGAUGGCACGGCCGUGCCAUACUUUAGGGCGCGUCCAUAUAGCUUCUGUAAGGCUUAGCACGGGCGUGUGGAUAUUGACACAGCCGUGUGAGGCUUCAAAAUGUUGAAAACUUGACUUUUCAUCUUUUCUUCCCUUAAGUGAAG
rnacentral:lncRNA from 1 species